ACAUUGGAACUGAGACACGGUCCAAACUCCUACGGGAGGCAGCAGUGAGGAAUAUUGGUCAAUGGGCGCUAGCCUGAACCAGCCAAGUAGCGUGAAGGAUGAAGGCUCUAUGGGUCGUAAACUUCUUUUAUAUAAGAAUAAAGUGCAGUAUGUAUACUGUUUUGUAUGUAUUAUAUGAAUAAGGAUCGGCUAACUCCGUG
rnacentral:rRNA from 1 species